rnacentral:rRNA from 1 species
CGCUUUCACUCCUACGGGAGGCAGCAGUGGGGAAUAUUGCACAAUGGGCGCAAGCCUGAUGCAGCCAUGCCGCGUGUAUGAAGAAGGCCUUCGGGUUGUAAAGUACUUUCAGCAGUGAGGAAGGUGGUGUCGUUAAUAGCGGCAUCAUUUGACGUUAGCUGCAGAAGAAGCACCGGCUAACUCCGUGCCAGCAGCCGCGGUAAUACGGAGGGUGCGAGCGUUAAUCGGAAUUACUGGGCGUAAAGCGCAUGCAGGUGGUUUGUUAAGUCAGAUGUGAAAGCCCGGGGCUCAACCUCGGAAUUGCAUUUGAAACUGGCAGACUAGAGUACUGUAGAGGGGGUAGAAUUUCAGGUGUAGCGGUGAAAUGCGUAGAGAUCUGAAGGAAUACCGGUGGCGAAGGCGGCCCCCUGGACAGAUACUGACACUCAGAUGCGAAAGCGUGGGGAGCAAACAGGAUUAGAUACCCUGGUAG